GACAGAGGAUGCAAGCGUUAUCCGGAAUGAUUGGGCGUAAAGCGUCUGUAGGUGGCUUUUCAAGUCCGCCGUCAAAUCCCAGGGCUCAACCCUGGACAGGCGGUGGAAACUACCAAGCUGGAGUACGGUAGGGGCAGAGGGAAUUUCCGGUGGAGCGGUGAAAUGCGCAGAUAUCGGGAAGAACAUCGGUGGCGAAAGCGCUCUACUGGGCCAUAACUGACACUCAGGGACGAAAGCUAGGGGAGCGAAUGGG
rnacentral:rRNA from 1 species